GAACAAUGGAAUUUGGAGAAGGAAUGGUCCAGAUCUGCUGAAAUUUAAAGGUGAGAGUUUAGAUUUGACAUCGAAUGUUUUGGCAUGAUGAAGAUUGAAUUUGCGUCACCGUUGGUUGCAAGUGGAAAAUGGGCUUUGUAUUUCAUGCGAUAAGUUCGGACACAAGCAAAGGGUAUAUAAAAAAUUUCUUACCUGACACUUGGUGUAUCGGUCAUCCCAUUAAUCCAUAAACCAAGCUAAUUGAGAAGGAAAAUAAAAACAGUUUAAAAAAAAUGUUACUAGUAUUUUAUUGUAUGGUUAGAAAUACUUUGGUUUAAACCAAAAUAUUGUUUAUAAUUGGUUUUCAGUAUAAGCAAACUCAUAACGUAACCAGUUUAA
rnacentral:lncRNA from 1 species